UUUGGUUUCUCACCGUGGAAGCUUUGUUCUUUUGGUCUUUUGUAAUAGGUCUUGCUGUUGCUCAGUGUUUGGGUCUACAUUACUUUUGGAGCUGUGGCACUCCGCGUGAAGGCUUGCAGCUUCACCCUUGAAGCCAGUGAGACCAUGAACCCACCAGGAGGAGUGAAGGCUGUCUUGUCUUAAGUAGUCCUACCGGCUGUAACGGUUGUUGUGAAAGUCUGUAUCCUCACUCGUGAGCCAGCAAGACCAUGAAUCAACUAGGAGGAAGAAACUCCGAACAUAUGCGAACAUCAGGAGGAACAAACUCUGGAUACGCUGCUUUUAAAAGUUGUAAUGCUCACUGAGCAGGUUUGCGGCUUCAUUCUUGAAGUCAGUGAGACCAAGAACCCACCAAUUCUGGACACAAAAUCUGUUUGCCUGUUUAGAGGCAUACUACGGGGUUACAUUAGAAGCCCACCGAGAUAAUCCAAUACAAUCUUCUGAUCUCAAAAUCCUUCACUUAAUGACAUCUUUGGCAACUUGAAAUAAUAAUCACAGGUGUCUGACUUUUAAGGUGAGAGAACUAAGUUGUGUGACUCCAAAAGAGCAGAAACCAGGAACUGGAGAAUGGAGGACCAAAGAUCAGAGAACAAACGUGGUUCAGGACUCUGACUCACCAGUGGAUCCCUGAUCAAUCAGUCAGGAGUGAAGAUACAGG
rnacentral:lncRNA from 10 species